rnacentral:tRNA from 1 species
GUAGAUAUAGUUUAACCAAAACAUUAGAUUGUGAGUCUAACAAUAGAAGCCCACAACUUCUUAUCCACC